rnacentral:rRNA from 1 species
CCCUUAGAUGUUCUGGGCCGCACGCGUGCUACACUGAGUGGAUCAGCGGGUCAGGUUGCGCGAAAGUGUUUCCUAAUCUUUAAAUCCGCUCGUGAUGGGGAUUGACGGUUGCAAUUUUCUGUCAUGAACGAGGAAUACCUUGUAAGCGCGGGUCAUCAUCCCGCGCUGAAUACGUCCCUGCCCUUUGUACACACCGCCCGUCGCUCCUACCGAUUGAGUGGUCCGGUGAGGCUUUGGGAUCUGAGCGGAAAGAGCGUUUCGCUGUUUCUGCUCGGAAAACUCAGUCGAACCUUAUCAUUUAGAGGAGGGAGAAGUCGUAACA